UACGUAGGGGGCUAGCGUUGUCCGGAAUCAUUGGGCGUAAAGGGCGCGUAGGCGGCCCGGUAAGUGCGCUGUGAAAGUCAAAGGCUCAACCUUUGAAUGUCAGCGGAUACUGCCGGGCUAGAGUCCGGAAGAGGCGAGUGGAACUCCUGGUGUAGCGGUGGAAUGCGCAGAUAUCAGGAAGAACACCAGCGGCGAAGGCAGCUCGCUGGGACGGAACUGACGCUAAGGCGCGAAAGCGUGGGGAGCGAACAGG
rnacentral:rRNA from 1 species